GUUCGGCCCUGAGGAAGCUGAGCGAAGCAGGGCGUGUGGGUGCCGGAAGCCGGGUGUUUUAGGGUGGUGCCCACGUGUGUCACCUGGUUAUCGUUUUAACUUGGAUUAUUUUCUUAACUACCGCGACGGGUCAGCGUUCUGCUGCGGUUCUGAGUUCGGAAUUGAAUAGUGUCUGGUGGACCCUGAUGCAUCAGCCAAUCUGACGAUUUACUUCCCUUAGGAUGCUGUGAAAUUGAAGAAGAGUGAGAAGGUACUCCUGUUGAUCUCACAGCUUCUGAUACUGAAAUUUAAAAAAUGUAAUUAGAGAAAUUGUUCAGAGGUAAUUCCCGGUUAUCUCACAUGAUCACAUCAGAUGUCACCUGUAUAUGAAUUGUUCCUGCCACAAUAUUGGCAGAAUGACGCCAAAAAUG